rnacentral:rRNA from 1 species
CCGGCGCACGGGUGAGUAACGCGUAUGCAAUCUACCUGUAACAGAGGGAUAACCCGGAGAAAUCCGGACUAAUACCUCAUAGCACAUAUUAUUCGCAUGAAUUUUAUGUUAAAGAGACUCGGUUACAGAUGAACAUGCGUUCCAUUAGCUAGUUGGCGGGGUUACGGCCCACCAAGGCAACGAUGGAUAGGGGUUCUGAGAGGAAGGUCCCCCACACUGGUACUGAGACACGGACCAG